rnacentral:rRNA from 1 species
UACAGAGGGGGCAAGCGUUGUUCGGAAUUACUGGGCGUAAAGGGCGCGUAGGCGGCCUGUUAAGUCGAACGUGAAAUCCCCGGGCUCAACCCGGGAACUGCGUUCGAUACUGGCAGGCUUGAAUUCGGGAGAGGGAUGUGGAAUUCCAGGUGUAGCGGUGAAAUGCGUAGAUAUCUGGAGGAACACCGGUGGCGAAGGCGGCAUCCUGGACCGAUAUUGACGCUGAUGAGCGAAAGCUAGGGGAGCAAACGGG